GCCAACCGAAUUAUUUUCUUGAGCGAUGACUUGCCAAGCAGUUCACGACCAGGUGUCAUGUGCUUUUCGAAUAGUAUCAAAUUUCAAUUCCGUUGUUUAGCAGACGACAGUCAGUCAGAAAACUACAAAAAACAGCGAACAGAGGGACCUGCCGACCGGCUCAUCAUCACUUAUCAGUAAUCAGCAGUAAUCGUGCGUCUGCUUUAUUCGGUUAUUCCGGACUCCCGACCGCAUUCUUCCUCACAUGCUGGGCUUCCUUUAUCUUUGAAGCCAUGUCUGGAACGAUCUUGGUCACGAGUCUUGAGUUGGUCCACGAGAUCUCUCGGUCGUCAAGACUCAAGAGCUUCGCUAAGGAUUUUUGUAUUGACUCUGGACAUUCCUGGAAUUGAAGCAGAACCCAUGAGGAAAGCAGAGAAGAGGCAUAUACAAGUGAGAAGUAAGACAGCCCAAAUUUGGACAAUACUCGAUGAUGGCCGAAAAAUUGACUAUUCUAAAACAGGAAAGAUUCAGAUAAGUUAAAGAACUUCCUAUAACUACUAGAAGUGGGUCAACUCCACCGUCAAAAGUGACAUCAAUUACUUCUCCUAUCCAUCUAUACAGUUACAGACAAGGGAAAUGUUGGAACAUUCGGAACUUCUUGAUUCACCGUUUUCUGAGCCAAUUCUACCAAGACAUCAAAAGUUAAUUGAUGAUGGAGCACCUUCAAUAAUGCACUUCUAAAGACUUGCAUUUCCCAGUUCCUCCGUGAACUUCCUGGUUAUCUAUGGUGCUCGAACACAGCCACUGAAUACCGACAUCAGUAACUUCGAAGCAGUAUUGCAUAUCCAAC